rnacentral:rRNA from 1 species
GGGGAAGUAUUGCACAAUGGAGGGAAACUACUGAUGCAGCGACGCCGCGUGAGUGAAGAAGUAAUUCGUUAUGUAAAGCUCUAUCAGCAGGGAAGAUAGUGACGGUACCUGACUAAGAAGCUCCGGCUAAAUACGUGCCAGCAGCCGCGGUAAUACGUAGGGAGCAAGCGUUAUCCGGAAUUACUGGGUGUAAAGGGAGUGUAGGCGGGACUGUAAGUCAGAUGUGAAAUAUGCCGGCUCAACUGGCAGACUGCAUUUGAAACUGUGGUUCUUGAGUGAAGUAGAGGUAAGCGGAAUUCCUGGUGUAGCGGUGAAAUGCGUAGAUAUCAGGAGGAACAUCAGUGCGAAGGCGGCUUACUGG